CGGCACGGGUGAGUAACACGUAUGCAACCUGCCUGUAAGCGGGGAAUAACCCGUUGAAAGACGGACUAAUACCGCGAUAAUACUAAAUUACUGCAUGGUAAUUUAUUUAAACAUUUAUGGCUUACAGAUGGGCAUGCGCAUGAUUAGCUAGUUGGAGAGGUAACGGCUCCCCAAGGCAACGAUCAUUAGGGGUUCUGAGAGGAAGGUCCCCCCACACUGGUACUGAGACACGGACCAGACUCCUACGGGAGGCAGCAGUGAGGAAUAUUGGUCAAUGGACGAGAGUCUGAACCAGCCAAGUCGCGUGCAGGAAGAAUGUCCUAUGGAUUGUAAACUGCUUUUGCAGGGGAAUAAAGUGCAUCACGUGUGAUGUUUUGUAUGUACUCUGCGAAUAAGGAUCGGCUAACUCCGUGCCAGCCGCCGC
rnacentral:rRNA from 1 species